rnacentral:rRNA from 1 species
AUUGAACGCUGGAGGAAGGCUUAACACAUGCAAGUCGAGAGAGAGGCGGACGGGUGCGUAAUGUCUGGGAAACUGCCUGAUGGAGGGGGAUAAAUACUGGAACAGGUAGCUAAUACCGCAUACCAUCAGAUGUGCCCAGGUGGGAUUAGCGAGUAGGUGGGGUAAUGGCUCACCUAGGCGACGAUCCCUAGCUGGUCUCAGAGGAUGACCGGCCACACGGGAACUGAGACACGUUCCAGACUCCUCCGGGAGUCAGCAGUGGGUAAUAUUGCACAAUGGGCUCAAGCCUGAUGCAGCCAUGCCGCGUGUGUGAAGAAGGCCUUCGGGUUGUAAAUCACUUUCAGCGAGGAGGCGUUACUCGCAGAAGAAGCACCGGCUAACUCCGUGCCAGCAGCCGCGGUAAUAC